GACGAACGCUGGCGGCGGGCUUAACACAUGCAAGUCGAACGGAAAGGCCCUGCUUUUGUGGGGUGCUCGAGUGGCGAACGGGUGAGUAACACGUGAGUAACCUGCCCUUGACUUUGGGAUAACUUCAGGAAACUGGGGCUAAUACCGGAUAGGAGCUCCUGCUGCAUGGUGGGGGUUGGAAAGUUUCGGCGGUUGGGGAUGGACUCGCGGCUUAUCAGCUUGUUGGUGGGGUAGUGGCUUACCAAGGCUUUGACGGGUAGCCGGCCUGAGAGGGUGACCGGCCACAUUGGGACUGAGAUACGGCCCAGACUCCUACGGGAGGCAGCAGUGGGGAAUAUUGCACAAUGGGCGGAAGCCUGAUGCAGCAACGCCGCGUGCGGGAUGACGGCCUUCGGGUUGUAAACCGCUUUCGCCUGUGACGAAGCGUGAGUGACGGUAAUGGGUAAAGAAGCACCGGCUAACUACGU
rnacentral:rRNA from 1 species